rnacentral:rRNA from 1 species
AGUGAACGCUGGCGGUAGGCCUAACACAUGCAAGUCGAACGGCAGCACAGUAAGAGCUUGCUCUUACGGGUGGCGAGUGGCGGACGGGUGAGGAAUACAUCGGAAUCUACUUUUUCGUGGGGGAUAACGUAGGGAAGCUUACGCUAAUACCGCAUACGACCUACGGGUGAAAGCAGUGGAUCUUCGGACCUUGCGCGAUUGAAUGAGCCGAUGUCGGAUUAGCUAGUUGGCGGGGUAAAGGCCCACCAAGGCGACGAUCCGUAGCUGGUCUGAGAGGAUGAUCAGCCACACUGGAACUGAGACACGGUCCAGACUCCUACGGGAGGCAGCAGUGGGGAAUAUUGGACAAUGGGCGCAAGCCUGAUCCAGCCAUACCGCGUGGGUGAAGAAGGCCUUCGGGUUGUAAAGCCCUUUUGUUGGGAAAGAAAAGCAGCAGGUUAAUACCCCGCUGUUCUGACGGUACCCAAAGAAUAAGCACCGGCUAACUUCGUG